rnacentral:rRNA from 1 species
UGGAGUAUGUGGUUUAAUUCGAUGCAACGCGAAGACCUUACUGGUCUUGACAUCCCGGAGACCCUUAGGAAACUAGGGGGUGCUUCCAUCUGGAAGAAUCUGGAGACAGGUGCUGCAUGGCUGUCGUCAGCUCGUGUCGUGAGAUGUUGGGUUAAGUCCCGCAACGAGCGCAACCCUUGCCUUUAGUUGCCAGCAGUUCGGCUGGGCACUCUAAAGGGACUGCCGGUGUUAAACCGGAGGAAGGUGGGGAUGACGUCAAGUCCUCAUGGCCUUUAUGACCAGGGCUACACACGUACUACAAUGGCCGAUACAAAGGGCAGCGACACUGCGAGGUGAAGCCAAUCCCGUAAAAUCGGUCUCAGUCCGGAUUGGAGUCUGCAACUCGACUCCAUGAAGUUGGAAUCGCUAGUAAUCGUGGAUCAGCAUGCCACGGUGAAUACGUUCCCGGGCCUU